rnacentral:rRNA from 1 species
GAUGAACGCUGGCGGCGUGCCUAAUACAUGCAAGUCGAGCGAACAGACGAGGAGCUUGCUCCUCUGACGUUAGCGGCGGACGGGUGAGUAACACGUGGAUAACCUACCUAUAAGACUGGGAUAACUUCGGGAAACCGGAGCUAAUACCGGAUAAUAUAUUGAACCGCAUGGUUCAAUAGUGAAAGAUGGUUUUGCUGUCACUUAUAGAUGGAUCCGCGCCGCAUUAGCUAGUUGGUAAGGUAACGGCUUACCAAGGCGACGAUGCGUAGCCGACCUGAGAGGGUGAUCGGCAACACUGGAACUGAGACACGGUCCAGACUCCUACGGGAGGCAGCAGUAGGGAAUCUUCCGCAAUGGGCGAAAGCCUGACGGAGCAACGCCGCGUGAGUGAUGAAGGUCUUCGGAUCGUAAAACUCUGUUAUUAGGGAAGAACAAAUGUGUAAGUAACUAUGAACGUCUUGACGGUACCUAAUAAGAAAGCCACGGCUAACUACGU